AAUAGAUACCCAGGUAGUCCACGCCGUAAACGGUGGGCACUAGGUGUGGGCGACAUUCCACGUCGUCCGUGCCGCAGCUAACGCAUUAAGUGCCCCGCCUGGGGAGUACGGCCGCAAGGCUAAAACUCAAAGGAAUUGACGGGGGCCCGCACAAGCGGCGGAGCAUGUGGCUUAAUUCGACGCAACGCGAAGAACCUUACCAAGGCUUGACAUACACCGGAAACGUCCAGAGAUGGGCGCCCCCUUGUGGUCGGUGUACAGGUGGUGCAUGGCUGUCGUCAGCUCGUGUCGUGGGAUGUUGGGUUAAGUCCCGCAACGAGCGCAACCCUUGUCCCGUGUUGCCAGCAGGCCCUUGUGGUGCUGGGGACUCACGGGAGACCGCCGGGGUCAACUCGGAGGAAGGUGGGGACGACGUCAAGUCAUCAUGCCCCUUAUGUCUUGGGCUGCACACGUGCUACAAUGGCCGGUACAAUGAGCUGCGAUACCGCGAGGUGGAGCGAAUCUCAAAAAAGCCGGUCUCAGUUCGGAUUGGGGU
rnacentral:rRNA from 1 species